rnacentral:rRNA from 1 species
AUACGUAGGUGACAAGCGUUAUCCGGAUUUACUGGGCGUAAAGGGCGUGUAGGCGGUCUUGCAAGUCAGAAGUGAAAUUCCUGAGCUCAACUCGGGCGCUGCUUCUGAAACUGCAGGACUUGAGUGCUGGAGGGGAUAGCGGAAUUCCUAGUGGAGCGGUAAAAUGCGCAGAUAUUAGGAAGAACACCGGUGGCGAAGGCGGCUAUCUGGACAGUAACUGACGCUGAGGCGCGAAAGCGUGGGGAGCAAACAGGAUUAGAUACCCUGGUAGUCUACGCUGUAAACGAUGAAUACUAGGUGUGGGGGGACUGACCCCCUCCGUGCCGCAGUUAACACAAUAAGUAUUCCACCUGGGGAGUACGAUCGCAAGAUUGAAACUCAAAGGAAUUGACGGGG